AACCUCUCGCUAUUGGAGCGGCCGAUAUCAGAUUAGCUAGUUGGUGGGGUAAAGGCCUACCAAGGCAACGAUCUGUAGUUGGUCUGAGAGGACGACCAGCCACACUGGGACUGAGACACGGCCCAGACUCCUACGGGAGGCAGCAGUGGGGAAUUUUGGACAAUGGGCGCAAGCCUGAUCCAGCAAUGCCGCGUGCAGGAAGAAGGCCUUCGGGUUGUAAACUGCUUUUGUCAGGGAAGAAAUCCUCUAGGUUAAUACCCUUGGGGGGAUGACGGUACCUGAAGAAUAAGCACCGGCUAACUACGUGCCAGCAGCCGCGGUAAUACGUAGGGUGCAAGCGUUAAUCGGAAUUACUGGGCGUAAAGCGUGCGCAGGCGGCUUUGCAAGACAGAUGUGAAAUCCCCGGGCUCAACCUGGGAACUGCAUUUGUGACUGCAAGGCUAGAGUACGGUAGAGGGGGAUGGAAUUCCGCGUGUAGCAGUGAAAUGCGUAGAUAUGCGGAGGAACACCAAUGGCG
rnacentral:rRNA from 1 species